rnacentral:misc_RNA from 1 species
UUCGGUAUCCUGUGUUGCUUACCUAUCGAAAGGAAUCCGACGGUUUCGUUGGUCCCUCUCCGCCCCAUGCCCUCGCGGGUUGUGGGGUGGACGUCAGGCAAGCCUCGUGUUCCCGGCACGCUUCGCCCAGUUGCGUGGCUGCCUCGGCCCACGAGUGCACCGCCCGUGCUCUCGGAUGCGGAACGUUAUGCGUGGGCGCGGGGCCUGUUGGCUCCGUCCGCCCGAGCAACGCAUUUGUCCAUCGACACGAACGACCGUCGCGCCCGUCUCGAGCCGCGGCCGUUAGGCCAGUCGGGUCUCGUGCGGGCGUCAACGUCGCGAAGGAAUGCUACCUGGUUGAUCCUGCCAGUAGUCAUAUGCUUGUCUC